GUAGGGGGCAAGCGUUGUCCGGAUUUAUUGGGCGUAAAGAGCGUGUAGGCGGUUUGGUAGGUCCGCUGUGAAAACUCGAGGCUCAACCUCGAGACGCCGGUGGAAACCAUCAGGCUAGAGUCCGGAAGAGGAGAGUGGAAUUCCUGGUGUAGCGGUGAAAUGCGCAGAUAUCAGGAAGAACACCCGUGGCUAAGGCGGCUCUCUAGUACGGUACUGACGCUGAGACGCGAAAGCGUGGGGAGCGAACAGGAUUAGAUACCCUGGUAGUCCACGCCGUAAACGAUGGGUGCUAGGUGUAGGGGGUGUCGACUCCCUCUGUGCCGAAGCUAACGCAUUAAGCACCCCGCCUGGGGAGUACGGCCGCAAGGCUA
rnacentral:rRNA from 1 species